rnacentral:tRNA from 1 species
GAAGGUAUAGCUCAGUGGUAGAGUGUGUGCUUAGCAUGCAUCCGUUCCUGGGUUCAAUCCUCAGUCACUCCA